rnacentral:rRNA from 1 species
AUUGAACGCUGGCGGCAGGCCUAAAACAUGCAAGUCGAACGAGAGGCGGACGGGUGAGUAAUGGCUGGGAAACUGCCUGAUGGAGGGGGAUCACUACUGGAAACGGUAGCUAAUAACGCAUACCAGCGGAUGUGCCCAGAUGGGAUUCGCUAGUAGGUGGGUAAAAGGCUCACCUAGGCGACGAUCCCUAGCUGGUCUGGGAGGAUGACCAGCCACACGGGAACUGCGACACGGUCCAGACUGCUACGGGAGGCAGCAGGGGGGAAUAUUGCACAAUGGGCGCAAGCCUGAUGCAGCCAUGCCGCGUGUAUGAAGAAGGCCUUCGGGUUGUAAAGUACGUUCAGCGGGGAGGCGUUACCCGCAGAAGAAGCACCGGCUAACUCCGUGCCAGCAGCCGCGGUAAUAC